rnacentral:rRNA from 1 species
ACCUGGUUGAUCUUGCCGUAGUCAUAUGCUUGUCUCAAAGAUUAAGCCAUGCAUGUGUAAGUAUGAAUAAUUUGGAUUGUGAAACUAUGAAUUGCUCAUUAAAUUAGUUAUAGUUUGUUUGAUGGUACCUGCUACUUAGAUAAUCGUAGUAAUUCUAGAGCUAAUAUGUGCACUGAACCCUGACUUCUGGAAGGGACGCAUUUAUUAGAUAAAAGGUCGAUGUGCGGGCUCGCCCCGUGGAUUCGAUGAUUCAUGAUAACUCGACGGAUCGCACGGCCCUCGUGUCGGCGAUGUGUCAUUUCAAAUUUCUGCCCUAUCAACUUUUGAUGGUAGGAUAGGGGCCUACCAUGGUGGUGACGGGUGACGGAGAAUUAGGGUUUGAUUCUAGAGAGGGAGCCUGAGAAAUGGCUACCACAUCCAAGGAAGGCAGCAGGCAUGCAAAUUACCCAAUCUUGACACGGGGAGGUAGUGACAAUAAAUAACAAUACGGGCUCGUCGAGUUUGGUAAUUGGAAUGAGUACAAUCUAAAUCCCUUAACAAGGAUCUAUUGGAGGGCAAGUCUGGUGCCAACAGCUGCGGUAAUUCCAUCUUCAAUAGCAUAUAUUUAAGUUGUUGUAGUUAAAAAAGCUUGUAGUCAGACUUCAGGUCGGGCCGGGCAGUCCACCUCUAGGUGUGCACCGGCCAUCCCGCCCCUCCUGCUGACGAUGCAGUCCCGCCCUUGACCAGGUGGGUCAUGCCUCCGGCACCGUUACUUUGAAGAAAUUAGAGUGCUCAAAGCAAGCCCACGCUCUGCAUAUGUUAGCAUGGGAUAACACCACAAGAUUCUGGUCCUAUUGUGUUGGCCUUCGGGGUCGGAGUAAUGAUUAAGAGGGACAGUCUGGGGCAUUCGUAUUCCGUAGUUAGAGGUGAAAUUCUUGGAUUUACGAAAGACGGACGACUGCGAAAGCAUUUGCCAAGGAUGUUUUCAUUGAUCAAGAACGAAAGUUGGGGCUCGAAGACGAUCAAAUACCGUCCUAGUCUCAACCAUAAAUGAUGCCGACCAGGGGAUCAGCGGAUGUUGCUCUUAGGACUCUGCGGCACCUCAUGAGAAAUCAAAGUUUUUGGGUUCCAGGGGGAGUAUGGUGGCAAGGCUGAAACUUAAAGGAAUUGACGGAAGGGCACCACCAAGAGUGGAGCCUGCGGCUUAAUUUGACUCAAUGGGGAAACUUACCAGGUCCAGACAUAAUAAGGAUUGAUAGAGUGAGAGCUCUUUCUUGAUUCUAUGGGUAGUGGUGCAUGGCCGUUCUUAGUUGGUGGAGCGAUUUGUCUGGUUAAUUUCGUUAACGAACGAGACCUCGGCCUGCUAACUAGCUAUGCGGAGGCGACCCUCUGCAGCCGGCUUCUUAGAGGGACUACGGCUGUUCAGGCCACGGAAGUUUGAGGCAAUAACAGGUCUGUGAUGUCCUUAGAUGUUCUAGGCCGCACACGCGCUACACUGAUGUAUUCAACGAGUUUAGAACCUCGGCCGACGGGCCCGAGUAAUCUUCGAAAUUUCAUCGUGAUGGAGAUAGAUCAUUGUAAUUAUCGAUCUUCAACGAGGAAUUCCUAGUAAGUGCGAGUCAUCAGCUCGUGUUGACUACGUCCCUGCCCUUUGUACACACUGCCCAUCGCUCCUACCAAUUGAAUGGUCCAGUGAAGUGCUCGGAUCGCGGCGACACAGGCAGUCCCUCGCCCGCGACGUCGCGAGAAGUCCGCUGAACCUUAUCAUUUAGAGGAAGGAGAAGUCGUAACAAGGUUUCCGUAGGUGAACCUGCAGAAAGAUCAUUG